GACGAACGCUGGCGGCGUGCCUAAUACAUGCAAGUAGAACGCUGAAGGAGGAGCUUGCUUCUCUGGAUGAGUUGCGAACGGGUGAGUAACGCGUAGGUAACCUGCCUGGUAGCGGGGGAUAACUAUUGGAAACGAUAGCUAAUACCGCAUAAGAGUAGAUGUCGCAUGACAUUUGCUUAAAAGGUGCAAUUGCAUCACUACCAGAUGGACCUGCGUUGUAUUAGCUAGUUGGUGAGGUAACGGCUCACCAAGGCAACGAUACAUAGCCGACCUGAGAGGGGGGUCGGCCACACUGGGACUGAGACACGGCCCCGACUCCUACGGGAGGCAGCAGUAGGGAAUCUUCGGCAAUGGACGGAAGUCUGACCGAGCAACGCCGCGUGAGUGAAGAAGGUUUUCGGAUCGUAAAGCUCUGUUGUAAGAGAAGAACGAGUGUGAGAGUGGAAAGUUCACACUGUGACGGUAUCUUACCAGAAAGGGACGGCUAACUACGUG
rnacentral:rRNA from 1 species